rnacentral:RNase_P_RNA from 1 species
GGUAAGGGUGAAAAGGCGGGGUAAGAGCCCACCGGCUCCGGUGGCGACAUCGGAGGCCGCACAUCCUGCGGGUUGCAAGGCCAAAUAUACCGGCAGCUAAGGAUUGCUCGUCCAUUGCCGAGGGGUAGGCUGCUUGAGCCGACGGGCGACCGGCGGCGUAGAUAAAUGACAGACACCGGAAUCUUCCGGCACAUAACCCGGCUUAUAUCUUUUCUGUCUUU